GUGGAUUUAACAGGUGACGUCAAUAAGGGACCAUAGCUUUCACCUGGAUUCACCUGUUUCCUACACUCAGUAUAUAUUAUUUGUUGGUCCUUCCUUCCGGGAACCAAGUUUAUAUACAUGGCUGGAACAUUUUCCCAUGCAGUUAGUUGCAUUGUUUCAAAUAACAUAGAUACAACUUCACCACUUUCCUGAAGAGCCUCAGAAGUUACAAAUCAAUGAGCUGAGAUCAAGGAGAUCAUGCAAGGGAUAAAACGUUGAUGGAUGCAAGAGACAACAUGCUCUGCAGAAAGAUAUUGGAUUAAAAGGCCAAAUUGACAGCUGCCAUAGAGUACAACACCCUUGUACCAGAUUCAGCAAUACCAUCGGCAGAUGAGAUCCUUUCCGCAGACCUUCAUGCAUGGCCUUGGGAGCUGCAUGGACAGGACCCGGUACUUCUCAGAUUUGACUUUGUUUGUUCCGGCAUCUAUCUGUCCAGAUCCGGUACCUCUCGCAGCAUGAAUUAUUAAUUGGUUCACUGUUCGUAUUGUAGACAUUCUAAUAAAAGUGAUCAGCAUUAAAU
rnacentral:lncRNA from 1 species